AUUUUUGUAUUGUUAAAGGUAGAGCCACACAAGUUGCAAAAGACAACAGAAAAUAAAUAAUAUAAAAUAAAAAUAGAUAAUUUUUAUCGUCUAAAAUUAUAAGACAUUAUUGGUCUUGCAAUUAAAGCCCCGGCGUAAUGGGUUAACACAGAACAGCCCAACAGGAUGCAAUCUUUUUUUCAACGCUUCACAGACCGGCAAAAGGGCUGCCAGAUGGAAAUGACAGUAUCCAAUGGGCUUUCUAUCCUGUAGAUAUAUAUAUAUUUUUUUCCUGAUACAUUCUUUUCAACGAAUCUAGUACAUCCUUAACUAUUCGAAUAACUUGAAUAAAUAUACCACGCCAUAUUGUAUUAAACAACAUCGCUGAGGAGAAACAACGCUGAAAA